rnacentral:rRNA from 1 species
UACGUAGGGUGCAAGCGUUGUCCGGAAUUAUUGGGCGUAAAGAGCUCGUAGGCGGUCUGUCGCGUCGAAUGUGAAAACCCGGGGCUCAACCCCGGGCCUGCAUUCGAUACGGGCAGACUAGAGUUCGGUAGGGGAGUCUGGAAUUCCUGGUGUAGCGGUGAAAUGCGCAGAUAUCAGGAGGAACACCGGUGGCGAAGGCGGCUCUCUGGUCCACAACUGACGCUGAGGUGCGAAAGCUAGGGGAGCAAACGGG